rnacentral:rRNA from 1 species
GACGUAGGGCGCGAGCGUUGUCCGGAUUUAUUGGGCGUAAAGAGCUCGUAGGCGGCUUGUCGCGUCGAAUGUGAAAACCCACGGCUCAACUGUGGGCUUGCAUUCGAUACGGGCAGGCUAGAGUUCGGUAGGGGAGACUGGAAUUCCUGGUGUAGCGGUGAAAUGCGCAGAUAUCAGGAGGAACACCGGUGGCGAAGGCGGGUCUCUGGGCCGAUACUGACGCUGAGGAGCGAGAGCGUGGGGAGCGAACAGG